UUGAAAAAAAAUCCCGAAAAAAUUUUACAAAGUAUAAAGUGCGUGGCCACGAGUGUAUGUUAGCUGCAUUGGAGCAAUUCAGAAAACAUAAAAAAUUAAGUUUCCAGUUUUCUGAUUGCCACGAAGUUGGUAACUCCCAAAAGGAAACGUCGCAGAUUCUUAACAAAUGUAAAUCUAUAAAUGAUCAGCAUUACGAGGUGAAUCGAUUUUGCUAUGUCCGCCGUCGGCCUAACUGCAUAUAUACCUAGAAUACUAGUCCACCAGUAUUUUAGAUAUCGAUCUGAAAUUGUAUACAAGUAUUUUUCUGCCCAAGAAGCUACUCAUUUGUCAGAACCGCCGGCAUCAUACGAGUACCACUACAGCAUUUAGCUGUCAUACAAACUGAACGAUCAAUAUUAAGACAUUGAAUGAAAGACCUUGACCCCUAGUGGGGGAACACCAUGUAACCUGACAGGAAUGUUGCUCAAACGAAUUAAAUAUUGAAUAAUGAUCUAAAAAAUGAGAAUGCAAUACUUAAACUCCAAAACGAAAACCUAAGAAAAUCUUAAUAAAUAUAUCAGUAAAAUGGUUUCUUCUCCAUCCAAAUCAACCUUUGUAGCUGAAAACGACGAAGAAGAGCUGGAAAGUGAAACAAAUUGGCUAUUAAAAAAGAAAAAAAGUAGGGAAAGUAAAAAAAUCAAAGCAGAUUAUUCAUCGGAUGUAACGCUGAAUUCUUUGAGUCCGGAGAAUACAGCAGAAGGUAAAACAGCUAUAAAAGUAAGUCAUCGCUCUCCGCCAAUUAUUAUAUAGGAAAAUUUUAACCAAACUUUGAUGCGUUCCUUGAUAAAUGCGAAAUCAAAAAAUACUUCCACACCUAAGCUUACUGGCCCUAGUCCAUAUAAAAUAAACCAGACAAUUCAGACUAUAGAAUACUCACAAGGAAAUUAAAAGAAUCGCUAAUUUCCUGGUACUCGAAUGAGGACUAGCAAUUGCGCAAUAUACGCGUAAUGAUAAAAGAUCUUUAUCAAAAUAAAGAGCAUAACCACUCUCGAAUAGUUCGAGAAAUAUGUUUGUCUCUUUUGUAAAAUGGGUUUCUGAUAUUAGACAAAUAUCAAUUUUUUCAACGUGGAGUAAUGACUCUAAUUCCUUACUACGUUUGAGCAAGGCACUUGCAUUCCCGGUCAUAAUUUUUAUUGGUUUAAUUUUUGCGCCUUACUUUCGUUUUCUGUCAUUCUAGUUGAGUAAGGCAUUCGUGGGUAAGUUUAUUUUUCUCUUCUAGCUUAUUAAGCUUGUUCAGAAUUAAUGAGAAAUUAUUAGUAAUAUCACUAAUGGCAUUCAAAUUUUUUUGGUUUGCAAACAUAUGUUGUUGAACUUGAUUAGUAUGUUUAGUUAUGUUGGCAAAUGGGGUUUUCCAGAUUGCUGACUUACAAGUACAUACAUUAGUAACUUUCUUCAGAGGGGCAGUAGAAGCGGUUGUACUUAAAUUGUUGUUGGUUAUGCUUUUUACUUUUCUCAGUCACCUUUUUAAUUUUUUGAAGUUGUUUUGCAACUUCACAUCCCCUAUUAUUCGCGAGAGGGGGGAGUGCCAUAGUUAUCAGAGAUAAUAUUCCCCACAACGAAGAAAUUAAUAUAAGUGUCCCAGAAUUCCAAACCACGACCAUAUCGGUUGAAUUAAUUUCGGGAAAAGAAGUAUUACCGAAAUAUAUAGCCCACCUAGACACAAUAUCAAAGUGGACUUGUACACAGAACUUAUACUAAAACACCCCGGGAAAUUCAUUAUGGGUGGUAAUUUUAACGCAAAACACUCCUAAUUGGGUUCCAGAGUUACGACACCGAUGGAGAGAGAGCUAUUUAAAGCUGCUAUGGCCACUGGAUACGACUUCUUGUCUACUGGCAAGCCGAAACAAGAAAAUUACCUGACUUGGUCGACUAUUUCAUCACUCGACAAAUAUCCAAGACCUUCAUUACCACGGAAAAUGGAUUGGACUUAAAUACGGAUAAGGAGUAUUUCAAAGUUAUUCUCGACAAAAAUAUAGGUUUUUAAGUAAAUAUACGGGUGGGGAUAACCCGUAUGUUUGGGAUUAUUCUCUUUGGGAAGCUGUAAAAAAUGAAAGGAAUCCAAUAUUGUCAAGUUCACCUCACAGAAAGCCAAACGGUUCCUGGGCCAAAAGUGUCGAAGCAAAAGCGGAAGUUUUUCAGAGAAACUAACUAAACCGUUUAGUCCCUUUAUGUUUCAUGGAACUUUACCGCAGCUGGAAGGAUCGCAAUACGUAGACAACCAACCAGCAACAAUUAAAGAAGUAGAAAAUAUCAUUAUCACUAGACCAACCAAAAAAAGCUCCCGGCUUCGACCUGGUGACUGCUGAUGGAUUAAAAAAUAUAUCGCGAAAAGCAUUUGGAAAACUUCUAUCGCUAAUAAAUUCUUGCUUAAAUCUCAGAUACGUCUCACUGUCGUGAAAGGUAUCUUCAUUAUGGUACAAAAACCCGGUAAAAACGCAAAGGAGGCCUCGUCAUAUCGUCCGAUGAAGAUGUAAUUAUAAGAAGAUUUCACAACAUAACUGAAGAAAAGGGCAUUCGUAUAAGAAUGAUGCAGAUAUCCCCCAACUUUAUUUUAUGGGCAAUUCAUAUACGGAAGUUGAUAAUCGUUGUACUCACAAUCCAACAGUGAAGAGAGCCAUUGUCCAAGAAAUUCUUCAUCACUAUAACAAUUUAGUAAACAUGUUUAAAAUAGCAUUGGAUCGGAUGACAUCUGAUAGCCAUAAUAAUAUCACUCGAGCUGACAAAACACCUGUGGGUGAACACACAAGGGUGUUUAAUUCACCUACCAUUGAUGAAUUGGCUGUUGUUACUGUAAGAGACAACUUACAAUCUAGAGAUAUAUAUUGUGCUUCACCGUCCGAAUAGUGUUAGUGCAACACACACGAGUUAUGAUGCAUCACAAUAUUCUUUGAUUUUCUGGCAGGAAGACGGAUACCAUUUUAAUGUCAAAAUGAUAAAUUAAGUAAGAGGUGCUGAAACCAGCAAAAAAGUUAGUGCUAUGAAUUUUUAUUCAUACGGACUCAAAGUGCGUCAAGGUGAAGUAAAUCAUAUUUAGAUGAGUCAACAACUUUUUCAUCAAUUAGCAGUUGGCAUGUAAGCCAAAAUUGAAACGAUUGACGUAUGUACAUCCGUUUGAACCAACAGCUACGAUCAGAAGAAUACAUUUAUCUCCGCGGUGCUAUAAACGUCGAUGGCAAUGUAAAUAAUGUGGGAAUUUUCCAACAACUUUACCAGCUUGACAGCCUUGACCCAAUAUGGAAUGUAGUAGUUACCAAAUACAAUUCACCCUGUAUGGUCGACAUUAAGUAUUCCAAUCGAUACUCAAGAGACCUGCUUGCUGAAAUCAUAACGGAAAUGAUAUAUGUUAUCCAAAGCUUAUCAGACUCAUAUCAAUGUGGAAUAUUGUAACUCUGUGAAGUCGAUAAAGUACAUAUGUAAAUAUGUUAACAAAGGUAGCGAUAUUGCCGUCUUCGCUGUAACCAAUGCAAGAAAUAUCAUGAUAGCGGCCUAUCUGGUACUAUGAUAUUUCAUCACACGUAGCAGCGAAGAAAUUUGGCACGUCAACCAUCGAAAACGUUAACAACAUUCUUAACAGUUUGUAAAAAUUAUGAUUUUGCUCGCAUUUUGCUAUAUGCUUAUAUGCCACGCUACACAUGGAAUGCAUCAUAAGAAUCCUUUCUGCGUCGAAAAAAAGGAACACCAGUAGAAGGACAUCGAAAUGUAUUUGCUUUAGACGCUCUGAGUAGCAUCUACAUACUACGUCCAAAAUAACGAUGAAUGUUAGUAUUUUUCUUUGUUAGUGAAUGUUCGUGAUCCGACAUAGUUUAAACAACUGAGAACAGUUAAUGGACAGCUGUGUGCGACCUACCGU